rnacentral:rRNA from 1 species
UACGGAGGGGGCGAGCGUUAUUCGGAAUCAUUGGGCGUAAAGGGCGCGUAGGCGGCCUAGCAAGUCAGGGGUGAAAUCCCUCGGCUCAACCGAGGAACUGCCUCUGAAACUGCUUGGCUAGAGACCGGGAGAGGGUAGUGGAAUUCCCAGUGUAGCGGUGAAAUGCGUAGAUAUUGGGAGGAACACCAGUGGCGAAGGCGGCUACCUGGACCGGUUCUGACGCUGAGGCGCGAAAGUGUCGGGAGCAAACAGG